AUUGAACGCUGGCGGCAUGCUUUACACAUGCAAGUCGAACGGUAACAGGUUAAGCUGACGAGUGGCGAACGGGUGAGUAAUGCAUCGGAACGUGCCCGAUCGUGGGGGAUAACGCAGCGAAAGCUGCGCUAAUACCGCAUACGAUCUGAGGAUGAAAGCGGGGGACCGUAAGGCCUCGCGCGAUCGGAGCGGCCGAUGUCAGAUUAGGUAGUUGGUGGGGUAAAGGCUCACCAGGCCAACGAUCUGUAGCUGGUCUGAGAGGACGACCAGCCACCCUGGGACUGAGACACGGCCCAGACUCCUACGGGAGGAAGCAGUGGGGAAUUUUGGACAAUGGGCGAAAGCCUGAUCCAGCAAUGCCGCGUGCAGGAAGAAGGCCUUCGGGUUGUAAACUGCUUUUGUACGGAGCGAAAAGGCUCUCUCUAAUACAGGGGGCUCAUGACGGUACCGUAAGAAUAAGCACCGGCUAACUACGUGCCAGCAGCCGCCGUAA
rnacentral:rRNA from 1 species